rnacentral:tRNA from 1 species
GGCCGGUUAGAUCAGUCAGUUAGAACUUGGUGCUGAUAACACCAAGGUCGCAGGUUCAAUCCCCGUUCGGACCC